CUUAGAGUUAUUUUUAAGAGUGACGGGCGAUAUGUGCAUAGACUAUUUCUGUUUCAAUAAGAAAUUUUAUUUUCUUUAUUUAUUUGCAAGUCCUAUUUCAUUUUAAUUUGCUUAAAAAUCUAAUUUUAAUCUAUAAAUUGUAUUAUAUCUAUUCCAUUUUAUUUUCUUUGUCUUGAUUUGUAUUGUUGCCUUUUUCCUCCUAAAUUUAUUUAUUUAUUUUUAUUUUUGUACAAUGAUAUAAAAAAUAAUAAAAUUGGUACAUUUAAUCGUGGGCUAUCGAUUAUAAGACAGAAUCCCCUGUUUAGUUAUUCUACCGCCAUAUUGUUUAGGUUUCUUUUAUUUAAAUACUACCUAUAUUUAAUUUAGAA
rnacentral:rRNA from 2 species